rnacentral:rRNA from 1 species
AUUGAACGCUGGCGGCAGGCCUAACACAUGCAAGUCGAGCGGAGCGGCGGACGGGUGAGUAAUGCCUGGGUAUCUGCCUGGUCGUGGGGGAUAGCGUCCUGAGGCGGACGCUAAUACCGAAUAUGAGCAGAUGCGCCUAGGCCGGAUUAGCUAGUUGGUGGGGUAAGGGCCUACCAAGGCGACGAUCCGUACCUGGUCUGAGUGGAUGAUCCGUCACACUGGGACUGAGACACGGUCCAGACUCCUACGGGAGGCAGAAGUGGGGAAUAUUGGGCAAUGGGCGAAAGCCUGAUCCAGCUAUGCCGCGUGUGUGAAGAAGGUCUUCGGUUUGUAAAGAACUUUAAGUAGGGAGGCGUUACCGACAGACAAAGCACCGGCUAACUUCGUGCCAGCAGCCGCGGUAAUAC